CCUACGGGAGGCAGCAGUGGGGGAUAUUGCACAAUGGGGGGAACCCUGAUGCAGCGACGCCGCGUGGGUGAAGAAGCGCCUCGGCGCGUAAAGCCCUGUCAGCAGGGAAGAAAAUGACGGUACCUGAAGAAUAAGCCCCGGCUAACUACGUGCCAGCAGCCGCGGUCAUACGUAGGGGGCAAGCGUUAUCCGGAUUUACUGGGUGUAAAGGGGGCGCAGACGGCGAUGCAAGCCAGGGGUGAAAGCCUGGGGCCUAACCCCGGGACUGCUCUUGGAACUGCGUGGCUGGAGUGCAGGAGGGGCAGGCGGAAUUCCUGGUGUAGCGGUGAAAUGCGUAGAUAUCAGGAGGAACACCGAUGGCGAAGGCAGCCUGCUGGACUGGAACUGACGUUGAGGCCCGAAAGCGUGGGGAGCAAACAGGAUUAGAUACCCUUGUAGUC
rnacentral:rRNA from 1 species